AUUGAACGCUGGCGGCAUGCCUUACACAUGCAAGUCGAACGGUAACAGGUCUUCGGAUGCUGACGAGUGGCGAACGGGUGAGUAAUACAUCGGAACGUGCCCAGACGUGGGGGAUAACGAGGCGAAAGCUUUGCUAAUACCGCAUACGAUCUAAGGGUGAAAGCAGGGGACCGCAAGGCCUUGUGCGUUUGGAGCGGCCGAUGGCAGAUUAGGUAGUUGGUGGGAUAAAAGCUUACCAAGCCGACGAUCUGUAGCUGGUCUGAGAGGACGACCAGCCACACUGGGACUGAGACACGGCCCAGACUCCUACGGGAGGCAGCAGUGGGGAAUUUUGGACAAUGGGCGAAAGCCUGAUCCAGCAAUGCCGCGUGCAGGAUGAAGGCCUUCGGGUUGUAAACUGCUUUUGUACGGAACGAAAAGGCUCUGGCUAAUACCUGGGGCACAUGACGGUACCGUAAGAAUAAGCACCGGCUAACUACGUG
rnacentral:rRNA from 1 species